GACGAACGCUGGCGGCAUGCCUAAUACAUGCAAGUCGAGCGAACAGAUGAAGUGCUUGCACUUCUGACGUUAGCGGCGAACGGGUGAGUAACACGUAAGGAAUCUACCUAUAAGCGGGGGAUAACAUUCGGAAACGGGUGCUAAUACCGCAUAAUAUCUUCUUCAGCAUGGAAGAAGAUUGCAAGAAGGCUCUGCUGUCACUUAUAGAUGACCUUGCGGUGCAUUAGUUAGUUGGUGGGGUAACGGCCUACCAAGACGAUGAUGCAUAGCCGACCUGAGAGGGUGAUCGGCCACAUUGGGACUGAGACACGGCCCAAACCCCUACGGGAGGCAGCAGUAGGGAAUCUUCCGCAAUGGGCGAAAGCCUGACGGAGCAAUGCCGCGUGAGUGAAGAAGGCCUUCGGGUCGUAAAACUCUGUUAUAAGAGAAGAACAAAUUGUAGAGUAACUGCUACAGUCUUGACGGUAUCUUAUCAGAAAGCCACGGCUAACUACGUGCCAGCCGCCGCGGUAA
rnacentral:rRNA from 1 species